UGGGGCGGCCGCCCUCGGGCUGGCGGAGGCGCCGGAGGAGCCCCCGAGCUGCAGCCGUCUCCCUCGGGCUGCUGCCGGUGCUGCGGGCGGAGGCGGCUCCGCCGCGUGUUGGGCGCUGCGAGCAGGGAGCGCUGCGGUAUCGCCGGCAUGACGGGGCUGCUGCCUGCGUUAGUGCUCGUGGCUCUUUGUGCCGUGACAGCGGAUGGAGCGGCGCUGGGCGGUAAAGCCAGAGAUGGCCGGGAGAAUGCCCAGCGCAGGGAGCAGGCGGGCUGUAUGCUUCGGAUGGCACAGGGUACUCACAAAAUAUGUCUCCCUUAGUGUCUCACAGAAACAUUCUGGGUGAAAUCUGAAUUAAGGUAUGUGUUUUCAAAUAAGUAAUCAGUUUAGAUAUUUGCCUGUGUACCUUUUCCUGUAAUUCAGAGCUUGUGUUCUGUGGGUUUUAUGAUAAACCUGUAAAACAUGUAAGAAUGGUUUUGCAAGUCUGAAUCGUUGAAGGCAGCAAUAAGUGGAUUUAAAGCCUGUUCUUGAGCAGACAAAGGGGAAAAGUGUGACUCUGAUGCUGAACUUGUCAUUUUUCAUUUGACUUGCCUUUAAUUAUUGAAGAAGAGAGAGAACUAGGAAAAGAAAUAGAAUUGGUUAUUGAGCACUCCUAAAAAGCUCACCAUGAUUCUGUGUAGAGCCAAAGUGAAGGAUGAUGGAACAGAGCUCUGUGCAUUAGAAGGAAAUAAACCUGAUGUCCACACAGAGUCUUACUAAUUUCUGUUUUUAAAAUGCAAAAUAAGUUUAGGAAGUGUUGGAAGUUAGUAUUUUGGGAAAGAAAUAGCAGUUCCACAAAACAUUCCGUUCCAUUUAAGAGAGGCCCUUGGACUGAUUCAUGUUGUAACUGCUGUCACUGCAAUCAGUUGGUGGUUCAGCCUUGAAACAUGCACUUGGCCUUCUAUAAAGCACUGUUUUGUUUGCCUUUCAGUGCUAUGAGUCUUGAUAAAUUGGAGAAGUGCCCAAGAGAAAUUCAUCAUCCUGAGAUACGAAAGGUAGGAAGUGACUUUUUUUGGUUUGGUUCUUUUUCUUUAUUAUUUUCUGGAAAUAGAAGUAAUUAAGUAUAGAUACUACUGGUUUGUUUCUUCCAGUAGCUGAUAAUACUAAUACCAAUAAUAAUAAUAAUAAGAGUAAAGUAAUACUACUUAAAUUGUCUUUAUUUAUCCAUUGAACUGGCCAUUUCAAAUCUAAACUUCUAAACACAAAUCAAACCAUCAUCCUUGUAGAAUCUUUAAUAGGAGUGGGCUAAAGAUCCUGGUUUUGUUGACAGGAUUUAUUGGUUCAUGAAGAGCAAGAGGUAAGUACAAGCCUAACUACCCUCUAGCUCACAGACCUGCCCGGUGAAUAGAGCUUUGUUUUUUUGAUUGGCUUGUGAUGACUUUGAAAUCAAUUGCUCAUUCAUUACAGUAAAAAAAAAAAAAAUUGUUUUGAACAUGACAGCAAAAAUAACUUUAAGCACAACUUAAUAAUAAUAGAUCACCAAUUUUAGUUAAUAAUUUUAUGCUAUACUCUUGGGUGAGGGAAGACUCGGACACUCAAUAUGAGAUCAGCAAGCUAUGUUUAUUGCAGAGAGUAUCAGACACUUAUACAGCACAUAAUAAGCUUAUGAAUAUUCUGUAAGCCAAGCGAUCUAUUGGUUAAACUAUACCAUCAACUCUUCCUCAUUCCUUUGGGCCUACAUUCCCUAUUUCCCACGUCUCUCUGUCUACUUGUUAUCCUACCCAGCUAGGCCCAGGCACACGCUAUCUUGCAGGUGCAAAACUCAAAAAUACCUGUGUUCGGUACUUUCCCAGCUCCUGGUCGGCUAACGAGCGAAUGUCUGCGUGACCUCUGUCAUGGAGCCAUUUCUCCACACUAUACUAUCAAAGUUUAAAGGUAAAUUAUUAUAUAUUAGGAGAUGGUGUAAAGUGUAUGUUGUAAUGUGUAGGAUAUAUACAAAGAUACGUACUUGAAAGUCCGUAGAGGAAACAAAUUUUUACACCUUCUGUUUGACUGUUUGUCAUAUAUUUGGUUUUAUUUCCCAGGGAUCAGUGAAUUUUAACUCUGGAGUCCUCUAUGCUAAGGAUGCUCAGCUUACAGAUGAUGAAAUGUUCAGUAAUGUAUUUGCUGGAGCUGUGCUUACCCAAGGUUUGGGUAAAACAAGCUUUGGGUUCCCUCUGUCUCACUGGGAGUUGCCCAAUUCAGUUGCAUCUGGUGAAAUUCACCCUGAGACCUUACAGAACCAGCUCCAACUACGUGAGAGCCAUUUGCAGUUCUCUCCAGACGCCUGGAGAAUGGGUGACGUUUCUGAGGAUCCGGCGAGCGUGCUUCUGUCAAAACUCAGUCUGUGAAAUUCCUGGGGAAAACCCUUCUGUGUCCUGAAGGGUUCAAACUCUGGUGAGGAUCCAGUUAUCAGGUGCUCACCUGGAUGGUUCCAGCUCCCAAAGGGAAAGACUCUCGUAUCCUUGUCGUCGGGCUCGGUGCUGUCCAAGAAGAUACAGAGACUAAAAAAAUCAUAAGAAGGAAAAUAUGACUGCAGGGAAAAGAAGCUGGAGAGAACAGAAGACUCAUCACGGCGGGACAGCGUGAGGACUGAAAGUGUAAGAAGAUGUGGAGGGAAAGAGAGAAUCUGACAGGAGCAGCGAACGCACGAGUGCACGAAUUUUGCUUUUUGCUUGGAUGUAAACUCAGGAGUUGAAAGGAAUUUGGGAGUGAGAAGGGACAUUUCAGAAGGAGAAGAAGAAAAAGAAGUUGUUGUUGUUGCUACAGUCCUGGCAAAAGCUUUUGUUCUAGCUAAUAAAAGAAGUUAGUUUAAAAAACAAAAA